UCUGUGAUGUCACCUUGAGUUGGAACUUUAUCCUACACUUGAUGGGCUCCUCUCCUGAGUGGGAAGGCAAGGAAAUAGGGGCUUACCACCCAAAAGAUGGGAGGCAGAAGAUACCCACCUGAGUUGCCCAGAGCCCACAGUGUUUGCUUUCUCACCACUCCGGACUCCACCUUUGAGCUCUUUGCGAGAGAUGUGGAUAUCCAGCUUUGAACAAUCCAAGAAAGAAGCCCAGGCACUAAGGUGGCUGGUUGAUAGGAAUCAAAACUUUUCAUCUCGAGAGUUUUGGGGCCUAGUAUUCAAGGACUGAUUUCAAAAAUGAUCAGAAUGAAACAGACUAGAGCCUUCUUGAGGUUUAUUUUCUAGGUUGCCUUAAUAUUUGAACAUAAUAGCUAUUCUGUUGACUAUCCAUCAGGAUAAUAAUUAGUUGCUGCAGUACUCAUAAUGAGCCCUUUCAAAGAAUAGAUGUAAAUUACCCUUAGGGGUUGCCACUAUAUUUUUUAUACUAAAAAAGGAAAUAUUUCUUAUGGACACUGGUUAUCUUCCAU
rnacentral:lncRNA from 1 species